rnacentral:rRNA from 1 species
GGUUAAGCGACUAAGCGUACACGGUGGAUGCCCUGGCAGUCAGAGGCGAUGAAGGACGUGCUAAUCUGCGAUAAGCGUCGGUAAGGUGAUAUGAACCGUUAUAACCGGCGAUUUCCGAAUGGGGAAACCCAGUGUGUUUCGACACACUAUCAUUAACUGAAUCCAUAGGUUAAUGAGGCGAACCGGGGGAACUGAAACAUCUAAGUACCCCGAGGAAAAGAAAUCAACCGAGAUUCCCCCAGUAGCGGCGAGCGAACGGGGAGGAGCCCAGAGCCUGAAUCAGUAUGUGUGUUAGUGGAAGCGUCUGGAAAGGCGCGCGAUACAGGGUGACAGCCCCGUACACAAAAAUGCACAUAUUGUGAGCUCGAUGAGUAGGGCGGGACACGUGGUAUCCUGUCUGAAUAUGGGGGGACCAUCCUCCAAGGCUAAAUACUCCUGACUGACCGAUAGUGAACCAGUACCGUGAGGGAAAGGCGAAAAGAACCCCGGCGAGGGGAGUGAAAAAGAACCUGAAACCGUGUACGUACAAGCAGUGGGAGCCUCUUUUAUGGGGUGACUGCGUACCUUUUGUAUAAUGGGUCAGCGACUUAUAUUCUGUAGCAAGGUUAACCGAAUAGGGGAGCCGAAGGGAAACCGAGUCUUAACUGGGCGUUAAGUUGCAGGGUAUAGACCCGAAACCCGGUGAUCUAGCCAUGGGCAGGUUGAAGGUUGGGUAACACUAACUGGAGGACCGAACCGACUAAUGUUGAAAAAUUAGCGGAUGACUUGUGGCUGGGGGUGAAAGGCCAAUCAAACCGGGAGAUAGCUGGUUCUCCCCGAAAGCUAUUUAGGUAGCGCCUCGUGAAUUCAUCUCCGGGGGUAGAGCACUGUUUCGGCAAGGGGGUCAUCCCGACUUACCAACCCGAUGCAAACUGCGAAUACCGGAGAAUGUUAUCACGGGAGACACACGGCGGGUGCUAACGUCCGUCGUGAAGAGGGAAACAACCCAGACCGCCAGCUAAGGUCCCAAAGUCAUGGUUAAGUGGGAAACGAUGUGGGAAGGCCCAGACAGCCAGGAUGUUGGCUUAGAAGCAGCCAUCAUUUAAAGAAAGCGUAAUAGCUCACUGGUCGAGUCGGCCUGCGCGGAAGAUGUAACGGGGCUAAACCAUGCACCGAAGCUGCGGCAGCGACGCUGAUGCGUUGUUGGGUAGGGGAGCGUUCUGUAAGCCUGUGAAGGUGUGCUGUGAGGCAUGCUGGAGGUAUCAGAAGUGCGAAUGCUGACAUAAGUAACGAUAAAGCGGGUGAAAAGCCCGCUCGCCGGAAGACCAAGGGUUCCUGUCCAACGUUAAUCGGGGCAGGGUGAGUCGACCCCUAAGGCGAGGCCGAAAGGCGUAGUCGAUGGGAAACAGGUUAAUAUUCCUGUACUUGGUGUUACUGCGAAGGGGGACGGAGAAGGCUAUGUUGGCCGGGCGACGGUUGUCCCGGUUUAAGCGUGUAGGCUGGUUUUCCAGGCAAAUCCGGAAAAUCAAGGCUGAGGCGUGAUGACGAGGCACUACGGUGCUGAAGCAACAAAUGCCCUGCUUCCAGGAAAAGCCUCUAAGCAUCAGGUAACAUCAAAUCGUACCCCAAACCGACACAGGUGGUCAGGUAGAGAAUACCAAGGCGCUUGAGAGAACUCGGGUGAAGGAACUAGGCAAAAUGGUGCCGUAACUUCGGGAGAAGGCACGCUGAUAUGUAGGUGAAGUCCCUCGCGGAUGGAGCUGAAAUCAGUCGAAGAUACCAGCUGGCUGCAACUGUUUAUUAAAAACACAGCACUGUGCAAACACGAAAGUGGACGUAUACGGUGUGACGCCUGCCCGGUGCCGGAAGGUUAAUUGAUGGGGUUAGCGGUAACGCGAAGCUCUUGAUCGAAGCCCCGGUAAACGGCGGCCGUAACUAUAACGGUCCUAAGGUAGCGAAAUUCCUUGUCGGGUAAGUUCCGACCUGCACGAAUGGCGUAAUGAUGGCCAGGCUGUCUCCACCCGAGACUCAGUGAAAUUGAACUCGCUGUGAAGAUGCAGUGUACCCGCGGCAAGACGGAAAGACCCCGUGAACCUUUACUAUAGCUUGACACUGAACAUUGAGCCUUGAUGUGUAGGAUAGGUGGGAGGCUUUGAAGUGUGGACGCCAGUCUGCAUGGAGCCGACCUUGAAAUACCACCCUUUAAUGUUUGAUGUUCUAACGUUGACCCGUAAUCCGGGUUGCGGACAGUGUCUGGUGGGUAGUUUGACUGGGGCGGUCUCCUCCUAAAGAGUAACGGAGGAGCACGAAGGUUGGCUAAUCCUGGUCGGACAUCAGGAGGUUAGUGCAAUGGCAUAAGCCAGCUUGACUGCGAGCGUGACGGCGCGAGCAGGUGCGAAAGCAGGUCAUAGUGAUCCGGUGGUUCUGAAUGGAAGGGCCAUCGCUCAACGGAUAAAAGGUACUCCGGGGAUAACAGGCUGAUACCGCCCAAGAGUUCAUAUCGACGGCGGUGUUUGGCACCUCGAUGUCGGCUCAUCACAUCCUGGGGCUGAAGUAGGUCCCAAGGGUAUGGCUGUUCGCCAUUUAAAGUGGUACGCGAGCUGGGUUUAGAACGUCGUGAGACAGUUCGGUCCCUAUCUGCCGUGGGCGCUGGAGAACUGAGGGGGCUGCUCCUAGUACGAGAGGACCGGAGUGGACGCAUCACUGGUGUUCGGGUUGUCAUGCCAAUGGCACUGCCCGGUAGCUAAAUGCGGAAGAGAUAAGUGCUGAAAGCAUCUAAGCACGAAACUUGCCCCGAGAUGAGUUCUCCCUGACCCUUUAAGGGUCCUGAAGGAACGUUGAAGACGACGACGUUGAUAGGCCGGGUGUGUAAGCGCAGCGAUGCGUUGAGCUAACCGGUACUAAUGAACCGUGAGGCUUAACCUU